rnacentral:rRNA from 1 species
GGUGAGUAACACGUGGAUAACCUACCUAUAAGACUGGGAUAACUUCGGGAAACCGGAGCUAAUACCGGAUAAUAUUUUGAACCGCAUGGUUCAAAAGUGAAAGACGGUCUUGCUGUCACUUAUAGAUGGAUCCGCGCUGCAUUAGCUAGUUGGUAAGGUAACGGCUUACCAAGGCAACGAUGCAUAGCCGACCUGAGAGGGUGAUCGGCAACACUGGAACUGAGACACGGUCCAG